rnacentral:rRNA from 1 species
AGAGUUUGAUCCUGGCUCAGAACGAACGCUGGCGGCGUGCCUAACACAUGCAAGUCGAACGGAUUCAUAUUGAAGUAGCAAUACGGAGAUAUGAGUUAGUGGCGGACGGGUGAGUAACACGUAGGUAACCUACCCUUAAGCGGGGGACAACUCAGGGAAACUUGAGCUAAUACCGCAUAAGACCACGGGCUGAGAUGCCAGUGGGAAAAGGAGCAAUCCACUUAAGGAUGGGCCUGCGGCCUAUCAGGUAGUUGGUGAGGUAACGGCCCACCAAGCCAGAGACGGGUAGCCGGACUGAGAGGUUGAACGGUCACACUGGAACUGAGAUACGGUCCAGACUCCUACGGGAGGCAGCAGUGGGGAAUAUUGCACAAUGGGGGAAACCCUGAUGCAGCGACGCCGCGUGGAGGAUGAAGGCCUUCGGGUUGUAAACUCCUUUUGUAGGGGAAGAUAAUGACGGUACCCUGCGAAUAAGCCACGGCUAACUCUGUGCCAGCAGCCGCGGUAAGACAGAGGUGGCGAGCGUUGUUCGGAAUUACUGGGCUUAAAGGGCGAGUAGGCGGUGGAGCAAGUCUGAGGUGGAAUCCUACGGCUUAACCGUAGAACUGCCUUAGAAACUGUUUUACUUGAGUCAGUGAGGGGAGGGCGGAAUUCCUGGUGUAGCGGUGAAAUGCGUAGAUAUCAGGAGGAAGGCCUGUGGCGAAAGUGGCCCUCUGGCACUGUACUGACGCUGAGGCGCGAAAGCGUGGGGGAGCAAACAGGAUUAGAUACCCUGGUAG